UACGUAGGUGGCGAGCGUUGUCCGGAUUUACUGGGCGUAAAGAGCGCGCAGGCGGCUGGGCAAGUCCGAUGUGAAAGCUUCCGGCUUAACUGGAAAAUUGCAUCGGAAACUGCUCGGCUUGAAGGUGGGAGAGGGUAGCGGAAUUCCCGGUGUAGUGGUGAAAUGCGUAGAUAGUCGGGAGGAACACCAGUGGCGAAGGCGGCUACCUGGCCCACUCUUGACGCUGAGGCGCGAAAGCUAGGGGAGCAAACGGG
rnacentral:rRNA from 1 species